AGGGUCGAGCUGUUGUUAAUUCCACAAAAAAGGUUGUAGAUGCUUCUAAAGACAUCAUGAAGAUGGCAAAGCAAGCUUACAAUAAGAUCCUAAUACCAGCACCAUUCUCUCCACUGAAAUAGACAUUAACAGUUUCUAAAUUUAUACCACUGUUGAUGAAACAUUAGUUGUUAACAGGCAUUCCAAGCUUGUACAUACAGGGGUAGAAAUAGUUUUAUUUUCAAAACUUGUCUUCUUAGGCCCAAAACAAAUCUUGCUGGUAAUUUGACCAAAAUUAAAAAUGUUAUGUCAUCAAUGCCAUAAAAAAUGAUGACCAAUCUUAAUUGUUAAUGUAUUAAAAGCUUAAUAAUGUUGUAGCUAUAACAUGUGAAGUACUGUAAAACCAUUUUUCUUCACCGGCAUUUAAUUUCGCUAUUUUACUGUAUUUUAAGUCCACAAAUUUGUUAUAUUGUUAUUUUACACGUUCACAUGGAUUUAAAGCGCGGUAGUCAUCACGCUGCGCAUGUUCGACAUUUGUGUUGUUAAAUAUUGAUUUUCCCACAAUCCAAUGCGUUCUUCAAAUGGAAUUCACAAGUAUGAGAUUUGACCUGGGCGUGACUUGCACUGAUUAUCGCCGGUGACUGCUUCAAUACCUUCCAAUCACAUGAAAAUUACCUAAUUAAAGCUUGGAAACAGGUCAGUUCGUACUCGUUCAUCUGCGCAACAGUCAAAGUCGCCAUCUUUGUUUAUAUGAGACCCAUGUGCAGUGCGAUGACUACCGCACUUUAAUUUAAUAAAUUUUACAUUUUUGGCAAAAAUAGUGAAAUUAAAAAUUAGUAUGAAUGCAUUUAUUGUGUGUUGGGGGAAAAAAUACAAAUUCUACCAACAUUUGUGUUUGUGGAAUAAUAUAUGUAAUCAUUAACACAGGUACCAGUAUAUAUUUUUAACAUUAAAAUGACUGCCAUUCAGCCAUCUGAUGAUCAUACAAAUAUUUGCAACAAGAUGUAUGAUGUAAAUUUUGAACAUGAUCAGGGAAGGCAUCUCAGAGAUUCAGCUCGAGAACCACAUUUGUUAAAAUGGCCACCAGUUGGCCAUUUGGAAUCUGAUCUGAAAAACCAAAUGAUGUGCAUCAAGGUCUUGUGAUGUCCACAGUAUGUAUAUAAGUUUGAAAAAAAAAUCCAUCCGUACAUACAUAACCAAGAUCUGCUUCCAGAAAUGCAUAAUUUUGAUGAAAGCAUUUAUCUGUACAUUGUAUGUCUACUAUGCAAAAUCCUUUUGCUAUGCAACAGAUUUAAACCAAAUCAAUCAAUAAACACAUGAAAUAUGGUUCCACAAGGGC